UCCGUAGGUGAACCUGCGGAGGGAUCAUUACACAAAUAUGAAGGCGGGCUGGAACCUCUCGGGGUUACAGCCUUGCUGAAUUAUUCACCCUUGUCUUUUGCGUACUUCUUGUUUCCUUGGUGGGUUCGCCCACCACUAGGACAAACAUAAACCUUUUGUAAUUGCAAUCAGCGUCAGUAACAAAUUAAUAAUUACAACUUUCAACAACGGAUCUCUUGGUUCUGGCAUCGAUGAAGAACGCAGCGAAAUGCGAUAAGUAGUGUGAAUUGCAGAAUUCAGUGAAUCAUCGAAUCUUUGAACGCACAUUGCGCCCUUUGGUAUUCCAAAGGGCAUGCCUGUUCGAGCGUCAUUUGUACCCUCAAGCUUUGCUUGGUGUUGGGCGUCUUGUCUCUAGCUUUGCUGGAGACUCGCCUUAAAGUAAUUGGCAGCCGGCCUACUGGUUUCGGAGCGCAGCACAAGUCGCACUCUCUAUCAGCAAAGGUCUAGCAUCCAUUAAGCCUUUUUUUCAACUUUUGACCUCGGAUCAGGUAGGGAUACCCGCUGAACUUAAGCAUAUCAAUAAAGCGGAGGA
rnacentral:rRNA from 1 species